UGGGGAAUUUUGGACAAUGGGCGAAAGCCUGAUCCAGCAAUGCCGCGUGUGUGAAGAAGGCCUUCGGGUUGUAAAGCACUUUUGUCCGGAAAGAAAUCCUUGGCUCUAAUACAGUCGGGGGAUGACGGUACCGGAAGAAUAAGCACCGGCUAACUACGUGCCAGCAGCCGCGGUAAUACGUAGGGUGCAAGCGUUAAUCGGAAUUACUGGGCGUAAAGCGUGCGCAGGCGGUUUGCUAAGACCGAUGUGAAAUCCCCGGGCUCAACCUGGGAACUGCAUUGGUGACUGGCAGGCUAGAGUAUGGCAGAGGGGGGUAGAAUUCCACGUGUAGCAGUGAAAUGCGUAGAGAUGUGGAGGAAUACCGAUGGCGAAGGCAGCCCCCUGGGCCAAUACUGACGCUCAUGCACGAAAGCGUGGGGAGCAAACAGGAUUAGAUACCCUGGUAGCCCACGCCCUAAACGAUGUCAACUAGUUGUUGGGGAUUCAUUUCCUUAGUAACGUAGCUAACGCGUGAAGUUGACCGCCUGGGGAGUACGGUCGCAAGAUUAAAACUUAAGGAAUUGACGGGGUCAUAGCUGUUUCCU
rnacentral:rRNA from 1 species